rnacentral:rRNA from 1 species
GAUGAACGCUAGCGGGAGGCUUAACACAUGCAAGUCGAGGGGCAUCACGAGGUAGCAAUACUCUGGUGGCGACCGGUGCACGGGUGAGUAACGCGUAUGCAACCUACCCUGUACAGUGGGAUAACCCGGAGAAAUUCGGACUAAUACCGCAUAAAGAUAUUUUGAGGCAUCUUAAGAUAUUAAUAGCUUAGGUGGUACGGGAUGGUCAUGGGUAACAUUAGCUGGUUGGUAGGGUAACGGCCUACCAAGGCGAUGAUGUUUAGGGGACCUGAGAGGGUGAUCCCCCACACUGGUACUGGGACACGGACCAGACUCCUACGGGAGGCAGCAGUGAGGAAUAUUGGUCAAUGGGCGGAAGCUUGAACCAGCCAUCCCGCGUGCAGGAAGACAGCCCUAUGGGUUGUAAACUGCUUUUCCAGUGGGCGAAACACUCGUACGUGUACGAGAUUGACGGUACACUGGGAAUAAGCAUCGGCUAACUCCGUGCCAGCAGCCGCCGUAA